AUUGAACGCUGGCGGCAGGCCUAACACAUGCAAGUCGAGCGGAUGAAGGGAGCUUGCUCCUGGAUUCAGCGGCGGACGGGUGAGUAAUGCCUAGGAAUCUGCCUGGUAGUGGGGGAUAACGUCCGGAAACGGGCGCUAAUAACGCAUACGUCCUGAGGGAGAAAGUGGGGGAUCUUCGGACCUCACGCUAUCAGAUGAGCCUAGGUCGGAUUAGCUAGUUUGUGGGGUAAAGGCCUACCAAGGCGACGAUCCGUAACUGGUCUGAGAGGAUGAUCAGUCACACUGGAACUGAGACACGGUCCAGAGUCCUACGGGAGGCAGCAGUGGGGAAUAUUGGACAAUGGGCGAAAGCCUGAUCCAGCCAUGCCGCGUGUGUGAAGAAGGUCUUCGGAUUGUAAAGCACUUUAAGUUGGGAGGAAGGGCAGUAAGUUAAUACCUUGCUGUUUUGACGUUACCAACAGAAUAAGCACCGGCUAACUUCGUG
rnacentral:rRNA from 1 species